GACAACCCAGUGGGUGUGUGAUUUACGGAUCAGGAACCUGUGUUAGUGAUGUUUAUGAAGCCGAGGCUUUUCACAGAUUUUACGAAGAAAGGAUGACAAGGAAGAGAAGUGUGUUGGAUUUAACUGUGCGCUGCUAAUGGACCCUUAAAUUCAACACACAGAAAGGACUUUCACCAAAAUCAUUUUCGGUGAUGUACAAUGGAUCUAGUUACAGGAAUGCUGUGAAAUGAAUUUUUCAGACCAUACAAUGAACACACGAAGGGGAGUUAGGGGCAGAACCAGCCACCACAAGGCCAUGCUCCCUCCUCCACGCAUCUGACAAGCCGUUGUCCUGACCAAACCACCAGCCUGUGCCCUGAGGACACCUACUCAAGUUCCUCCGGACAUUGUGAGAAUUUGAAGGUAGGCAAGAGAGACUUGAGGAAAAUAUGAAAUCCAUAGCAUAAACACAAUUCUCACAAAGGACCAAACCCAUCAUAACAAAUCAUUCAACGGUGAUGCUUAGUAGCAGCAGCUGAAUAGAAUCAGUUUGUCUAAUUGGGUCUAAUAAUUUCCUGUGGAGGAAGAAGCAUCUUAUAACCCACUGCCUUAAACAGGGCUGGCAAACCUUGUCCAGCCUGAGGGCCACAUUUUCUUCUUGGUAACUUUCUGAGGGCCAAAUGCCAAUGGGGGUGGGGCCAGGGCAAAAAGUGGGCGGAGCAGCAAAUGUGAAUAUUACCAUUUUAAAACAGGCACAUUUCUAUGAAAAUUCUCACAUGCCUUGCUAUCCUCUAUCGAGGCAAGCAAAAGUUCUUUGACAACACAUCCCAACCAGGCAAAAACAGUCUGGCUGAGGCCAGACUGAGGUGGAUGGGGCAGCACCCCAUGAGCCCAGUGGACCCACAUCCAUUGGCCUUCCUAAUGAGAAGCAGGUCUAGGUAAUAACCUGGAUGGGACACAGCCUGGAAACUUCCUGUAUUUAUUCUGCCUUAUAUUCCAUCAUGGAAGAAAGGCAGCAUUAAGUGGAAUCAAUACUAACAUGUUCCUCUUGCAAGUUUUUUUUAAUCUCUUCAUCAGUGUGGGAUAUUUUCCCGUGGAUGAGAAAAGGGCUGGGAAACCAACAUAAGACCUUCAUAUUUCCAGGAGCUCAGGAAAGACAUUGAAGAUGGGAAGACCUCAUGACGAAGGCCUACGUUGGAAACCUCUGGGAUCCCAAGAAAACAUUAACAAUUGCAUCCCAAAGAAUAUUCCCAUUGGCGUGAAAUGCAGUGAAAGAGGAGCUGUGUGGGAUGAUGAGGCUGUGGUAUUUAACCAAAGUGUCUCAAACACAAGCCAAUACUCCCUCUCCUGAACAGAUGUCAUUGCCCUGCCUUGGAAAUAAUUGCUACGCAGCUGAACCUUUUAUUUGUAUAUUUUUUGGCAGGGAACAAGGAUCUGCUGGUGGACAGUGAGCUGGUGCUUAGGAGAAGCUUCCUCUUGCCUUUCCAUGUGACUUCAAAACUUUCAAAACCUCCAGAUGUGACAACAGUUCAAGUUCCGAGUUCAAGAGGGAGAGACAGGGCACUGGCUGGGACCAAUGGGAUUUGGAUCCAAACAACAUUUGGAAGGUCGGGUGAUGGAAACGUUCCUUUCCAUUGGGGAAUAUUCAAAAUGUCUGGAUAAUUAUAAGUUCAGAUAAAUAGGAGUGGUGAUGAUGACAUGAAGUUCUAUGGAUGUGAAGGUCAAACUGAAAUGAUGAGAUCAGAUUCAUUAGGCAAUACAGAUCAGCAAGGUUGAGUUGAGAGUUUAUGUUUACCAUGUUCAGUGGAGGCAGGACUGAUGGAGAACUUCACCCAAGAAGAGCCCAAAUAGAUCAUCCCAAAGGACCAUCUGGUCCAGCAUCCUAUUCUCACAGUGGCCAACCAGAUCAUUGAGAAGCCUGCAUGCAGGACAUGAAUGCAACAGCACUCUCACCCCAUGAGCAUGGGCAUUGCCAUUGGAGAAGGUACAUAUCUUACCUGCCAUGAACUUUUCUAAUUCCUUCUUAAAGAAAUCCAAGUUGGCUGCCCUUGCUACUUGCUGCAGUAGCAAAUUCCAGUUCAGCUAUGUACUCUGUGAAGAAGUGAUUCCUAACCAGUCACUUCUGUGCAGCGCUGAUCUCUCUAUCCAUUCCAGACAGUAGGAAAGCAGGUGUGGGGUUUUGUGUCUGUAGGUGUGCCUGCAAUACGUUCCUGGGUGUUGUUGUUGUUGUUUUCAAGUUGGCGAUUUGCGCUUGUGUGUUUCUGCACUGCCAGUUCUCAGCAGGGUAGAACCCAGCGCUUUAACCGUGUGCCAACUCCACUCACCCCGUUGUGCCAAGAUCCCAUAGUAGGGCUGUUCAGCUUUGAGUUCUGGUGUUGCAAUUCAGAGUGGAAAAUGAAAUCCUGAGAUGAGGAAGAAUUAGCAAGGGACAAAUGGAGGCACCCAAGAACUUGUGAGUGGCCUUGUAAGUUGCAACAAGAGGCUGUUUUAGAGGACAGAGAUCCUUUGACUGCUGCACUGUGGGCCAUGCAAGUCCAUCUCAUUCCCUUGGCUGUUGUGUCUUGCUGCUGCUGCCGCCACCACUGCACAUUGCUGCUGGUAACUCCACUUUCAGAGAUGGAGGCGGCUGAGCAGGGAUUAGGAGAACAAGAGUAGCCUUUUACUCCUAGCUUUGCCCUUGGGGACAGGGGGUGUUCUGUGGUUUCUCUGCUCUGCAGUACUUAGCAGUUCCCCUCAAGUCAAAUGCCUUCCUGAGAGACAACGUGGCAACUGUUCACAUGGCAGCAGCAAUCUGUCAGGGUUAGAAAGGGUAUCCCAAGAGCGAAGCGGGAUAGCUCUCUGCCACAUCUUGGAUGCAGUGAUAUUCUUCAUCUGUAGCAGCCUUCCUCUUCCCUACUCUUCAGCAGUCUGACUCAGCAAGCACUUCAGUUAAAAGACAGUCAGCUAUAACCUCCCCCCCAACUACAUUUUUACAAUUCUGUUGUAAAGUGAACCCCUUGCAGACUACGUUUUCACUGGAGACUCUGACAGGAUGCAUUUUAAACACCCUGGCUGAAGUAAAACAGAAUCUUAAGUAUUGAAUUGGACCAAGCAAUGCUUUUUGUGCCCCAUAAUACAGUUGUGAGGUUUGGGCGGGGGGGGGGGGGUCAGCCUGCAUGAUGCCAGAAUCCCUUGUGAUGCUGGAAUCCUAAGUCCAGCAAGGGCUAAAAUCUAAUGUAGG